GACGAACGCUGGCGGCGUGCUUAACACAUGCCAGUCGAACGAUGAAGCAAAGAAUUGAAGCUUCGGCAGAAAUUCAUUUCGGAUUAGUGGCAGACGGGUGAGUAACGCGUGAGCAACCUACCUCUUACAAAGGGAUAGCCUCGGGAAACCGGGAUUAAUACCAUAUAACAUUGCGACGAAGCAUUUCGAUGCAAUCAAAGCUACGGCGGUAAGAGAUGGGCUCGCGUCCCAUUAACCAGAUGGUGAGGUAACGGCUCACCAUAGUAACGAUGGGUAACCGGCCUGAGAGGGUGAACGGUCACACUGGAACUGAGACACGGUCCAGACUCCUACGGGAGGCAGCAGUGGGGAAUAUUGCACAAUGGAGGGAACUCUGAUGCAGCGACGCCGCGUGAGUGAUGAAGGAAUUCGUUUCGUAAAACUCUGUUCUAUGGGAAGAAAAGGACUGUACCAUAGGAGAAAGCGCCGGCUAAAUACGUG
rnacentral:rRNA from 1 species